rnacentral:rRNA from 1 species
AGUUUGAUUAUGGCUCAGAUUGAACGCUGGCGGAUGCUUUACACAUGCAAGUCGAACGGCAGCACGACUGGUCUGGUGGCGAGCGGCGAACGGUGAGUAAGUUUACCGAACGUGCCUAGUAGCGGGGGAUAACUAUUGAAAGCGUAGCUAAUAUCGCCGCAUACGCCCUUCGGGGGAAAGCGGGGAAUUCUUCGGGCCUCGCACUAUUAGAGCGGCCGAUAUCGGAUUAGCUAGCUGGUGGGGCAACGGCUCACCAAGGCGACGAUCCGUAGCUGGUUUGAGAGGACGACCAGCCAUUAUUGGGACUGAGACACGGCCCAGACUCCUACGGAGGCAGCAGUGGGAAUUUGGACAAUGGGGGAAACCCUGAUCCAGCCAUCCCGCGUGUGCGAUGAAGGCCUUCGGGUUGUAAAGCACUUUUGGCAGGAAGAAACGGCACGGGAUAAUACCCCGUGCAACUGACGGUACCUGCAGAAUAAGCACCGGCUAACUACGUGCCAGCAGCCGCGUAAUACGUAGGCGCAAGCGUUAAUCGGAAUUACUGGGCGUAAAGCGCAGGCGGUUCCGGAAAGAAAGAUGUGAAAUCCCAGAGCCAUCUCUUUGGAACUGCAUUUAACUACCGCUUUAGAGUGUACAGAGGGAGGUGGAAUUCCAAGGGCAGUGAAAUGUGUAAUGCGGAGGAACACCGAUGGCGAAGGCAGCCUCCUGAAUAACACUGACGCUCACACGAAAUGUAAAAGAGCAAAAUAUAUAUCAGAUACCCUUCCGGUAGUCCACGCCCCAAACGAAUUAGCUGUUGGGGUCAAACUUUGGUAGCAGCUAACGCGCACAGUUGACCGCCUGGGGAGUACGGUCGUCGCAAGAUUAAAACUCAAAGGAAUUGACGGGGACCUGCACAAGUUGCGGAUGAUGUGGAUUAAUUCGAUGCACAACGCGAAAAACCUACCUACCCUUGACAUGCUGUCUGGAAUCCCGAAGAGAUUUGGGAGUGCUCGCAAGAGAACCGGAACACAGGUGUUGCAUGGCUGUCACAAUGGGGCUCGUGUCAGAGAUGCUGGGUUAAGUCCCGGCAACGAGCGCAACCCUUGUCAUUAGUUGCUGCAUGAAAGGGCACUCUAAUGAGACUGCCGGUGACAAACCGGAGGAAGGUGGGAUGACGUCAAGUCCUCAUGGCCUCAUGGGCAGGGCUUGACACGUCAUACAAUGGUCGGGACAGAGGGUCGCCAACCCGCGAGGGGGAGCCAAUCCCAGAACCGCGAUCGUAGUCCGGAUCGCAGUCUGCAACCUGACUCAGAAGUCGGAAUCGCUAGUAAUCGCGGGAUCAGCAUGUCGCGGUGAAUACGUUCCGGGUCUUGUACACACCGCCCGUCACACCAUGGGAGUGGGUUUGCCACAGAGGGUUAGCCUAACCGUAAGGAGGGCGAUUACCACGGUAGGAUUCAUGACUGGGGUGAAGUCGUACAAGGUAAU